ensembl:lncRNA
CGAGCAUCUGUGGGAUGUGCUGGACAAACAUGUCCGAUCCAUGGAGGCCCCACGUCACAACUUACAGGACUUAAAGGAUCUGCUGCUAACGUCUUGGUGCCAGAUACCACAGCACACCUUCAGAGGUCUUGUGGAGUCCAUGCGCAAGUUGGUCAGGACUGUUUUGCGAGCACAAGGGGGACCUACACAACAUCAGUGUAUAGGACUCUAUGUUACCUUUCCUACACAAUCAUGGGAGCGGACAUAAAACUGUCCUCCUUGGAUAAGGUUGAGGGGUUUGGCGGCUGUUCGUCAUCACCGAUCUCUGUAUCCAUCUCUACGUGUUCGUAAUACGGCGGGGGGAUCUCGCUGUCCUCCAAGCCAGAGGUGGUGUUGUGGUAAGUCAGCUUCGGCUGAUCGUCCUCAUCGUCGCCGUGGUACGAGUCCAAAUCCUGUGAGAGACGAAAACAAUGAUGAUGUCGUUUAGUUAUACUCGUAACAUAAACACAAGAGCAGCUCAUAACCAGAGGUUCAGGUGGGGGAGGAUGAUGUUAAUAAUGACAUAGCCUUAAAGAAAAUCAAGUUGACAGGCUAUCACACCUGACGUAUAGGCUACAAUCUAGUAUGUUAUGAACGUUUUGGAAUAACCCCAUAAGAGACAUUCACGACAAGGUUUACAAGACCUGAACAAACUAACAAGGGAACAGAAAGAUGUGUGCUGCGUCCCAAUUCGCCUACUUAUACUACGCA